rnacentral:rRNA from 1 species
CUAGCGUUUCGGGUCACGUACAUCCGAGGGUCG